UUCCUAGUAUAAGUAUGUUCCAUGGAAUAUUUGGAACAUACUAAUACAAAGA
rnacentral:miRNA from 1 species